rnacentral:rRNA from 1 species
AUUGAACGCUGGCGGCAGGCCUAACACAUGCAAGUCGAGCGGACGAAGGGAGCUUGCUCCUGGAUUCAGCGGCGGACGGGUGAGUAAUGCCUAGGAAUCUGCCUUGUAGUGGGGGAUAACGUCCGGACACGGGCGCUAAUACCGCAUACGUCCUGAGGGAGAAAGUGGGGGAUCUUCGGACCUCACGCUAUCAGAUGAGCCUAGGUCGGAUUAGCUAGUUGGUGGGGAAAAGGCCUACCAGGGCGACGAUCCGUAACUGGUCUGAGAGGAUGAUCAGUCACACUGGAACUGAGACACGGUCCAGACUCCUACGGGAGGCAGCAGUGGGGAAUAUUGGACAAUGGGCGAAAGCCUGAGCCAGCCAUGCCGCGUGUGUGAAGAAGGUCUUCGGAUUGUAAAGCACUUUAAGUUGGGAGGAAGGGCAGUAAGUUAAUACCUUGCUGUUUUGACGUUACCAACAGAAUAAGCACCGGCUAACUUCGU